rnacentral:lncRNA from 1 species
GGAUUAUGGUCGAAGCAGAGUAGAUGAAGACCCAACAGCCAUUUUCCUGAUUGACCGAAGAGGGUACUUCGCCCUAUUGGUCUUUGGGAUUAUGGUCGAUGCAGAGUAGAUGAAGACCCAACAGCCAUUUUCCUGAUUGACCGAAGAAGGUACUCCGCCCUAUUGGUCUUCGGGAUUAUGGUCGAAGCAGAGUAGAUGAAGACCCAACAGCCAUUUUCCUGAUUGACCGAAGAGGGUACUCCGCCCUAUUGGUAUUCGGGAAUAUGGUCAAAGUAGAGUAGAUGAAGACCCAACAGCCAUUUUCCUGAUUGACCGAAAAAGGUAUUCCGCCCUAUUGGUCUUCGGGAUUAUGGUCGAAGCAGAGUAGAUAAAGACCCAACAGCCAUUUUCCUGAUUGAUCGAAGAAGGGUAUUCCGCCCUAUUGGUCUUCGGGAUUAUGGUCGAAGCAGACCCAGAAGCCACACUCCUGAGAAUCCACUGAGGGCACACCGCCCUGGGGAUACUUGUCUUUGGGGAAAUCCAUCUAAAGUUGCAGCUUCAGAUGGAAAGCAGCUGAGGAGUUCGACAAAGCCAUUGCAGUACUUCAGCAGAAGCAGAGCUCGUGGACAUUGCAUGCAGAUGGAUAUUCUAUUUCGGACAUCAGUACAGCAGGCUAUCAAGGGGUCGAUCACAAUAACAAUUCCAUUGCUGAUGCAUUAUCGAAGUUGGCUACUACGGAUGUUUAUAACUUUGAUGGAAUAUGGCAUCCUUCCUUCAGAUCAGAUGCCGGCUAAAGAAGAUCAAGUAUAAGAGUGUCAAUUUUUUUCUCAUUAAUGAGAAUCUUUUUCGAAGGUCCUUUUUCGUCACCAUUGCUCAAAUAUUUGGUUCCGUCCGAAGCAGAGUAUGUUCUUCGGGAAGUUCACAAAGACAUUUGUGGCAAUCAUUUAGCUGCCAAACUAUUGGUCUACAAAGUACUUCGGCAGGGAUAUUCUUGAAAGAACUGGAAAUUCAGCACAGAAAGACUUCGGUGGCUCAUCCACGCUCAUUUUUUCACAAUUGAUCUUCUUCCUAUUGGUCCUAAGUUCACAAUGGUG